rnacentral:lncRNA from 1 species
CAUUUUCUUCUUCUUAUUUCCCCGUCUCUUUGAACAAUCAGAGAACAAUUAAAAAAUAACUAGAAAAGGCAUAAAUCGAAAAUAAGAGGUUGAAAGAUUUGUGAAUUCGAGAUGAAAUUCUAGUUUAGGUUCCGUCGUUCUAUCUUUUUUGCUGAUUUUACCUGUGGAGUUCCCGUUAAUGGAUUCUUUUUUUUCUCCUCGUUGGAUCGAAUGAAAGGUUGUUGAAGGAAAU